ensembl:misc_RNA 7SK 7SK RNA
GGCUAGGUGGGGGUCCCUUUGCUCCCUCGCGGCUCCAAGUGUGGCCCUCCCGAAGCUGCGUGCUCCAUCCAAGAGGACGACCUUCCCGAUAGAGGAGGUCCCAGUGGUCCCAGCGGUCAUGCAGGGCCCAGGCUGGCGGUCCACCAGUCAGCACAAAAUCACCCCAAAUUUCCAGGCACUGGGUGGAGAGCAGGUCCCACUCCAGGAUCCU